UACGUAGGGGGCAAGCGUUGUCCGGAAUCAUUGGGCGUAAAGCGCGCGUAGGCGGCCCGGUAAGUCCGCUGUGAAAGUCAAAGGCUCAACCUUUGAAUGUCAGCGGAUACUGCCGGGCUAGAGUCCGGAAGAGGCGAGUGGAACUCCUGGUGUAGCGGUGGAAUGCGUAGAUAUCGUAAGGAAGACCAGUGGCGAAGGCGGGUCUCUGGACAGUUCCUGACGCUGAGACACGAAAGCCAGGGGAGCAAACGGG
rnacentral:rRNA from 1 species